rnacentral:tRNA from 1 species
GCCUUCUUAACUCAGUGGUAGAGUAUUUGCAUGGUAAGCAGAAAGUCAUCGGUUCAAUUCCGGUCGGAGGCU